GAUGAACGCUGGCGGCGUGCCUAAUACAUGCAAGUCGAGCGUACAGACGAGGAGCUUGCUCCUCUGACGUUAGCGGCGGACGGGUGGGUAACACGUGGAUAACCUACCUAUAAGACUGGGAUAACUUCGGGAAACCGGAGCUAAUACCGGAUAAUAUAUUGAACCGCAUGGUUCAAUAGUGAAAGACGGUUUUGCUGUCACUUAUAGAUGGAUCCCCGCCGCAUUAGCUAGUUGGUAAGGUAACGGCUUACCAAGGCAACGAUGCGUAGCCGACCUGAGAGGGUGAUCGGCCACACUGGAACUGAGACACGGACCAGGCUCCUACGGGAGGCAGCAGUAGGGAAUCUUCCGCAAUGGGCGAGAGCCUGACGGAGCAACGCCGCGUGAGUGAUGAAGGUCUUCGGAUCGUAAAACUCUGUUAUUAGGGAAGAACAAAUGUGUAAGUAACUAUGCACGUCUUGACGGUACCUAAUCAGAAAGCCACGGCUAACUACGUG
rnacentral:rRNA from 1 species